UACGGGGGGGACAAGCGUUGUUCGGAAUUACUGGGCGUAAAGCGCGCGCAGGCGGCCUGGAAAGUCUAUGGGUGAAAUGCCGGGGCUCAACCCCGUGCAUGCCCAGGAUACUGCCAGGCUGGAGACACGUAGAGGCAGGCGGAAUUUCGGGUGUAGCGGUGGAAUGCGUAGAUAUCCGAAAGAACACCAGUGGCGAAGGCGGCCUGCUGGGCGUGAUCUGACGCUGAGGCGCGAAAGCGUGGGGAGCAAACAGG
rnacentral:rRNA from 1 species